rnacentral:rRNA from 1 species
GAUGAACGCUAGCGGCAGGCCUAAUACAUGCAAGUCGAACGGUGUCUUCGGACAUAGCGGCGCACGGGUGCGUAACACGUAUGCAACCUACCUUACAUUGGGGGAUAGCCUUUCGAAAGGGAGAUUAAUACCGCAUAAGACAGUAGCUGGGCAUCCAGCAGCUGUUAAAGAUUUAUCGAUGUAAGCUGGGCAUGCGUCCAAUUAGCUAGUUGGUGAGGUAACGGCUCACCAAGGCAAUGAUUGGUAGGGGAACUGAGAGGUCAAUCCCCCACACUGGCACUGAGAUACGGGCCAGACUCCUACGGGAGGCAGCAGUAGGGAAUAUUGGGCAAUGGACGCAAGUCUGACCCAGCCAUGCCGCGUGCAGGAUGAAGGCGUUAUGCGUUGUAAACUGCUUUUAUACAGGAAGAAACGACUCUUGCGAGAGGCAUUGACGGUACUGUAUGAAUAAGCACCGGCUAACUCUGUGCCAGCCGCCGCCGUAAAAC